CCCUGCCCUUUGUACACACCGCCCGUCGCUCCUACCGAUUGAAUGAAGAGAUGAAUCUGAUGGACUUUGAUUUUUAUGUUGUAAGACAUUUAUUUUCUGGGAAAUUAGCUGAAUCCCUUUGUUUGUAGGAAGGAAAAGUCGUAACAAGGU
rnacentral:rRNA from 1 species